AGUAAAGCAACAAAAAUGUUCUAGUUUGUUAGUUUUUGCCUUCUGAAAGUUUUUCUAAAAAUUUUCUGAUAUUUAUUGUACGGAAAAAUUCUGAUAUUGUCCAAACUGAAAGGGAAAUUUCUACGGUGGCUGUUUGUGAAUUCCCCGGUAAAAAAUAUGUGCAUACUCGUACAUAUAUAUAUGGGACAGAAGGAAAGUGUGUAAUAAGAAAGGAAUCUGAAGGCAGAGAGAGUAUAAAAAAGAAAGAUCUCUAUCGAUGAUAGAAUUUGAAAUCACGUUAGGAAAUCGAAACGUGGAUAUGGGAGCACGACUGAUAAAAUGAAGUCGUACAUAUGUAAUUUCGUGAAUUUAACAAAGGCAAAACCAAACUUAUAUUGGAAGCAAGUUGCAAUUACAUGUCCUUUAUCAAAGGACUCUUACACAUGCAGAGAGAAGUGCAAUUUUAAACGAAGGAUAUGUGCCAAAGAGAGGGAGAGAAGUUUUGAACACCGGAGGGCUAUUCCGCAAUCAACACAUCCAUAUGUAUGUAUACCCUUUUGAAGAAAGGACAUCGGCCUUGACGAGUAUUUGAGGUACUAGGGACUAAGGUGAUAUUAUAUUUAUUGCUAAAUCAUCGGAAAUCUGCAUUUCUGUUCAAUGAAUUGACGUCACUGAAUACUAGCAGAACUCACAGCCAACACAUGGAGGGAAGCCGAGACAAGGAGUGCACAGCUUUCUUGCUGUGAGAGAAUUUAAAACUUUUUUGCAAAAAGCACAAAACACCAUGAAUCUGCGACUACAAAAAUGAAAGAGGCUGUAACAUGCAUACAUAUUUACGAGUCAUGGGCGAAAUUUGGCAAAGGCAUAGCAUAAUAAAAGAAGAAAAGGCUGUGCUUUCCAUUAUGGUUCCAACGCUUGUUUCAGCCAAAAUAAUUGACCAAUCCUAUUGAAAUUUUCAGGAGUUGUUGCUGUUGAUCUUAUCUAUGUUUAUUUA